AGCGAAUAGAUACCCCGGUAGUCCCAGCUGUAAACGGUGCGCGUUUGGUGUGAGAAGGUUCGACCCUUCUUGCGCCGGAGUUAAACACGUUAAAAAACGCGCCGCCUGGGAAAUAACGGUCGCAAGACUAAAACUACAAAGAAAAUUAGCGGGGGCCCGGCACAAGCGGUGGAGUAUGUGGCUUAAUUCGAUGCAACGCGAAGAACCUUACCUAGGCUUGACAUGCAUCACUAAGGUGGUGAAAGCCAUCGAGAGUAGCAAUACUCAUUUUGCACAGGUGCUGCAUGGCUGUCGUCAGCUCGUGUCGUGAGAUGUUGGGUUAAGUUCCCGCAACGAGCGCAACCCUCAUAUGCUGUUACCGGGCCCAUAAAACCGGGUCUCUGCAUAGACUGCCCCGUGAAACGGGGAGGAAGGCGAGGAUGACGUCAAGUCAGCAUGGCCCUUACGCCUAGGGCUGCACACGUACUACAAUGCCCAGUACAAAACGAGCCGGCUCUGCAAAG
rnacentral:rRNA from 1 species